GCCGCAAUAGCUCAGUCGGUAGAGCACGUCAUUCGUAAUGACGGGGUCGGGGGUUCGAAUCCCUCUUGCGGCA
rfam:Bradyrhizobium sp. NAS80.1 Bradyrhizobium_NAS_80.1_c373, whole genome shotgun sequence.